UAAACAGGGACAGGAAAAUCAGACUUGGGAUCUGCGGAUCAGGGGAGCAGCUGGAGCUGUGAGCACAGCCUCAACUAGACUGCUUCACAGCCACCCUGGCAACUCAAGUACAUGUGCAUGAGGUGUGCCUCCAAGCAUAGUCCAAGAACUGCUUGGAUCAGACUUAGCAACAAUGUUGCUGAAAAGAAAAAUUAUGGAGCUGGGAGUGGUGAAUACCUGUAAUUCUGGCACUUGGAUAACUAUGAAAGGAGGAUUGUGAAUUUCAAGCCAGCUUGGGCUACAUAGUAGCCCAAGUCUGGUCUACCCUGGCAUGUAAUCCCAGGACUCCAGAGAUAGAAGAAGGAGGAUCAUAAAUUCAAGUUCACCUGAAUCUUGCAGGAGUUGGUUCUCUUCUUCCAGGGAAUCCCAGGGAUCAAACUCAGGUCAUCAGGUUUUAGGCAAGCACCUUUUACCUGCUGAGAUUUCUUUAAUCUACUGUUCUAAAUGCUAGACACAAUUCCCAAAUCCUCUGAUUGGCCCCCACCUGACUAUCCCACAGCCAACCCUUCUUUCUAAUCUUGCCUUUCUCAGUUUGGGGGUUCCAGGAGAGUGCUACUCAGUUUUCACAGGCAGGAUGCCCUUCAUCUAUGUUGAUCAUGUGCUCAGUCACUUUCCCCAUUCCUGCCUGCACCUAACCUUCCUUGACAUAUUUUAAAGGUCCUAGCUUCUGUCUGUUUUCUGAGUAUAAAUGUUUUUUCUUA